rnacentral:rRNA from 1 species
GCUAGUAAUCGCAGAUCAGAAUGCUGCGGUGAAUACGUUCCCGGGUCUUGUACCCACACCGCCCGUCACACCAUGGGAGUCGGAAAUGCCCGAAGCCGGUGACCAAACCAAUAAGGAAGGAGCCGUCGAAGGCAGGUCUGAUAACUGGGGUGAAGUCGUAACAAGGUACC